UGUGUUUGUGUGUCAGUGUAGCGAAGGGAGAGAGCAGUGACCCCACCCGGUCUUGAACACAGGUUUCCAAACUAAAGUUUACAGUUGGGAUCCUCCAGAAGAGAAGAAAGAUGCUUCACUCCUGAGUCUCCUGCUUUAUUCCAUCUCAGCUGCAGCUCUCUCAUGUGUGAGGGGUUUGAUCUCAGUGCUGAUGCAAGAGCUCUGAAGCCUUCAUCUCCAAUACUGCAGUCUGACAGACUGUAGAGAGAAUUUACAGUUGGGAUCCUCCAGAAGAGAAGAAAGAUGCUUCACUCCUGAGUCUCCUGCUUUAUUCCCACUCAGCUGCAGCUCUCUCAUGUGUGAGGGGUUUGAUCUCAGUGCUGAUGCAAGAGCUCUGAAGCCUUCAUCUCCAAUACUGCAGUCUGACAGACUGUAGAGAGAAUUUACAGUUGGGAUCCUCCAGAAGAGAAGAAAGAUGCUUCACUCCUGAGUCUCCUGCUUUAUUCCCACUCAGCUGCAGCUCUCUCAUGUGUGAGGGGUUUGAUCUCAGUGCUGAUGCAAGAGCUCUGAAGCCUUCAUCUCCAAUACUGCAGUGUGACAGACUGUAGAGAGAAAAAGGAGAGAGCAGUGACCCCACCUGGUCUCAAACACGGGUCUCCAAACUAAACAUGCAACUUGUGUUUGUGUGUGUGUGUGUGAAGUACAUUGUCAUCUUGAGAGCCCCUUCUCUGGCAUCACUCUCAUCCUGCUCUUUACCCUCAACGUUUUCUUGGUAAUCUGGACUCAGAAUCUUCUUGAAUCUCUUCAGCUCAUUCUUCACAAAGUCCAUUAUCUUCUCCUCAAGCACCUGGAGCUGUUGUGUACCACUGCUGUCGGUCUGAGUCUCCGCCCUUCCUCUGGCUGCUCCUGGUUCUCACCUGCUCACCUCUCACCUGCUUCCACUGGUGUCUCUGAUCUGCCUACCAAUCAGCCUCAAUCAGCCUGCAUCUGAUUGCAAUUUCAGCUGGCUUUAAAAUCCCCAUUACCAGUCUGCCUCCCUGUCAGAAUGUUCCCGUAGCAGUUCUCGAGUGCGACCUGCCUGCCUGACUGACUGAGUUUUUGCCUGCCUGGUUUUGACCUCUGCCUGAUUUUCAUCGGCUGUGUU